rnacentral:rRNA from 1 species
UACAGAGGGUGCAAGCGUUAAUCGGAAUUACUGGGCGUAAAGCGUGCGCAGACGGUUGCGUAAGUCUGAUGUGAAAGCCCACGGCUCAACCGUGGAGGGUCAUUGGAAACUGGGGAACUUGAGUGCAGAAGAGAAAAGCGGAAUUCCACGUGUAGCGGUGAAAUGCGUAGAGAUGUGGAGGAACACCAGUGGCGAAGGCGGCUUUUUGGUCUGUAACUGACGCUGAGGCGCGAAAGCGUGGGGAGCAAACAGG